UUUCAGUCUUGUUAUUUGGUAGGCAUUUCCUCAAAAAUGAACGAAGUGAGCUUGUUGGGAAGACACUGACAGUGUAUGUUGUCCAUAAUGAAACCCAACCGCUCAAGUGAAAAAUUAGAAUUUUGUAAGACUUGUAUUUGCUACCAUAAACUUGAAAGAUUAUCAACACUUAAAGAUGGUUCUGAUGAGAUUAGUAAUGAUAUUAAGAAUUGUGGGCUUUUAUCUAUAUCUUAUAAUUAGACAUUUAACAUUUAGAAACUCUGCAUAAGAAAUAUUUUUCAAAUGACUGAUUCGUGAUAGUACAAAAUCACAUGUGGGUAAAAGCUUAAAGUGCAAAAUAGUCCAAUAGAUUUUAAUGUAACAGAGUGAAAAAUAAGUUUUAUUAUGGUUUCAGAUUCCAUGUUGCAGCUAACCUUAAAGAAAUCAUCACUUGGAACUGAUUCAGAAUCCCAUAUCACAUUUUGUUAUUACUUUUGCCUGGUCUCCUGCUGUCUGGAACAGUUUUUCAGUCUUCCUUCAUUUUCAAGAGUGUGAAAGGAUCCCAAGACCAAAAGUCUGGGAACUGCUGGUUUAGAGUCACAAUACUGACUGCUCAAAAUGACUUUUUAAAGAAGAAAGCCUUAAAAACCCUUGAGUGAAUGGUUGGUAUUUACAGACAAGCAAAUGUAUGGAAGAGAAACGAGAGACCCAGCCUGAAUCUGUUGAAUGAACGAAAGGGGAAAUGCCCUAAGGAGUCAGAUGGAAGAAGUUUUUCUGGGAAGAGCAGAACACAGGAGUUGGGGUGCAGACCUCCUGGAUCACCAGCAGAAGGAAAAGAGCAGUGAGACGUUAAAGUGAUUGAGACAAAAAUGGAAGUAAAACAGCUUAAGGCUUUCUGAGAUCGAGUUCCUGGCAGUGUCAUCAGCAGAUGGUUUCUUCUGAAGUUCAGGGGAAGAGAAGAUGCUCGAAGAACUCUCCAGGGACUGAGUGGGUGGUACAGAGCUAGUGCUGUAGAUGCCAUGUAUACAGGCAAAUUCCCCAAUGAGUGUUUUCCAAUAUCAAGUUUAACUGGCAUUUAAGAUAUAUGCCAAAGGUAGGUAAAUUAUUUUGGCCUGUGCUUAUAGGUUUAUUUCCCUGGAUGAAGCUUUCUGUCUCUGUCCUAGUGCACUGUAGCAGAUGCAGGGUCUUUCCAUACAAUACAUUAAAAGCUGCAUCUCAUUUUAAAUAUAUUAUAGAAACCCUGAUCAUACAAUACAUACAAGAUUUUUAAGAUCAGCCUUCAGUCGAUUUUUUUGCUUUAUUUUUGUUCUGGAGGUCAAAAUGAGUGGUUAACUGUCUAAGUUGAUUGCAGAGAAAGUUACUACUCAUUCUAAACGUAGGUUUUUAGAAAAGUGUUCUUGGCAGUUGCUACCAUUGGCUUUUUCCAACUUACAUGGGAAUCAAGAUUCAGAACUGGUACACCAAUGGGAAGAGCCUGGAAAAUAGACUAUUGAUCAAGAUGAAUCUGGUCCAGAUACUUUAAGACCUUUUCAGUGUGUUUUUAAGAUUAUAAGUUUGAACUAACAGAAACUUCAAUGCUGUUUUUUCACAAGUCAAUGUGUAGUGUACUGUUAUUCUUUUUUUUCCUGUAAUAUCUUAAUAAUAUUCCUGGCUGUAAGAAAAAGUUAACACUAUACCUAUGUUUUGACUUACUUUAUAGAAGACCCAAACAAUAUUUAACAAAAGGAUUUUUCUCAAAUACUAUUUUGAAAUCACUAUAUUAGACACUAUCUUAAAUUUAUUUCUCAAUUUGCUUCUUUUUGAAACUUCCACAUUUUGGUGUUCUUUUCAGCAUCACUCAUUUUCUUUCAUAAUAAAGAUACCCAAUAACAAUAUCAUAAUAAAGAUUUGAUAACAAAUCUCCAGUUUUGGAGUGUUACAUUUCAUAUCUACAUGCUUACAGAGAAUUUAGUAUGAAUAUUCCCUGGCCUUAGUUCCUCUAAGCCUAGGAUACUUGUAGUCAUUUGGCAAAUAAUUUAAUCCAUGGCAAACAUGAGUCUUAAUACAAAAAUUAUUGAGUAGGCAAAAAAUAAUUGAACAUAUUUUGGACUGAUUACCAGUGCAUUAAAAAAGUAGAGGUUUAAGGAUGAGAAUAAUAAGUUUUUUUGUUUUUACUUAAAUUUAUAUAAAAGGAGUGAAAAUACAGUAGCCUAUAGUACUUAAGAGUGUGGGUAUAUUUUCAGCACUUAAUAAUUACUAGUUGAAUUGCAUAAUAUGGGACUAUAACUGAUAUGGUUUGGCUCUGUGUCCCCGCCCAAAUCUCAUGUUGAAUUAUAAUUUCCAAUAUUGGAGGAGGUACCUAGUGGGAGGUGACUGGAUCAUUGGGGGAAAUUUCCCCCUUGCUGUCCUCAUGAUAGUGAGUGAGUUCUCACAAGAUCUGAUGGUUUAAAAGUGUGUGGCAUUUCCCCCUUUACUCUUUCUCUCUCCUGCUGGCCAUGAGAAUAAGUGCUUGCUUCCCAUUCACCUUCUGCCAUGCUUGUGUUUCCUGAGGCUUCCCAGCCAUGCUUCUUGUUCAAGCUGCAGAACUGUGAGUCAAUUAAACCUCAUUUCUUCAUAAAUUACCCAGUCUCAGCUCUUUAUGGGAGUGUGAGAAUGGACUAAUAAAAUAUCUCUAGAAUUAUGUUUUUGGAGAUAAUUUAAAGAUAAACAAAUAUUGGAAACCUCAUUUGAUCACACAGAGAACAGUAAAUGGAAGUUCUACUUUUUCUCCAGGGCCUUUCUCAUGCUUAUGCAGGGAUUAUUCACCCAGAUAUCCUGAAAUAAGACAUCCAAUUAAGGUACCUGCUAUCUCAUGUAACACAGAAGAAAGUUGAGCAUAGAGGUUAAACAUUACCUAAUAUUGUUGGAAAAGCUUCGAAGCGUUCAUUUUCAAAGCAGCUAAUGUAAACCAUGAUAAUCACUAGUAGCACUAUGCCAUUUUAAAUACUUCAAUAUUUUGUAGUUAUUAGAUUCUAAGUAAGUAUAAAAUGUAGUGAAUACAAAUUUUAUUUGCCUAAACAGUGUUAGACAAUAUAAAUUAACGAGUUAUUUUUUAUUCUGUUUAAUAUUUUCAAGCCAAUAAACACUUUACUAAAGUAUAAAGUAGCUAUUCAUUAUUACUCUGUGUCUUAUGUUUAUGAUGUUAGAAAUGAGUAGAGAUGGUUAGCUGCCUGGGUAUCUGUUGAAAAUUCUGCUUAAACUAUGUAUUAUAAAGUUCUGUACAUUUCAAUGAUUUCUUGGAGAUUCACUGUCUAGUUCAGUUAUAAGUAAUUUAUAAUU
rnacentral:lncRNA from 1 species